GACGAACGCUGGCGGCGUGCUUAACACAUGCAAGUCGAACGGUAAGGCCCUUCGGGGUACACGAGUGGCGAACGGGUGAGUAACACGUGGGUGAUCUGCCCUGCCCUUCGGGAUAAGCCUGGGAAACUGGGUCUAACACCGGAUAGGACCACUGCCUGCAUGGGUGGUGGUGGAAAGCUUUUGCGGUGUGGGAGGGGCCCGCGGGCUAUCAGCUUGCUGGGGGGGUGAUGGCCUGCCAAGGCGAAGACGGGUAGCCGGUCUGGGAGGGUGACCGGCCACACUGGGACUGAGAUACGGCCCAGACUCCUACGGGAGGCAGCAGUGGGGAAUAUUGCACAAUGGGCGCAAGCCUGAUGCAGCGACGCCGCGUGAGGGAUGACGGCCUUCGGGUUGUAAACCUCUUUCAGCACCGACGAAGCGCAAGUGACGGUAGGUGCAGAAGAAGGACCGGCCAACUACGUGCCAGCAGCCGCCGCCG
rnacentral:rRNA from 1 species